UGGGGAAUAUUGCACAAUGGGCGAAAGCCUGAUGCAGCAACGCCGCGUGAGGGAUGACGGCCUUCGGGUUGUAAACCUCUUUUAGUAGGGAAGAAGCGAAAGUGACGGUACCUGCAGAAAAAGCACCGGCUAACUACGUGCCAGCAGCCGCGGGAAUACGUAGGGUGCAAGCGUUGUCCGGAAUUAUUGGGCGUAAAGAGCUCGUAGGCGGUUUGUCGCGUCUGCUGUGAAAUCCCGAGGCUCAACCUCGGGUCUGCAGUGGGUACGGGCAGACUAGAGUGUGGUAGGGGAGAUUGGAAUUCCUGGUGUAGCGGUGGAAUGCGCAGAUAUCAGGAGGAACACCGAUGGCGAAGGCAGAUCUCUGGGCCAUUACUGACGCUGAGGAGCGAAAGCAUGGGGAGCGAACA
rnacentral:rRNA from 1 species